rnacentral:rRNA from 1 species
AUUGAACGCUGGCGGCAGGCCUAACACAUGCAAGUCGAACGGUAACAGGAAGAAGCUUGCUUCUUUGCUGACGAGUGGCGGACGGGUGAGUAAUGUCUGGGAAACUGCCUGAUGGAGGGGGAUAACUACUGGAAACGGUAGCUAAUACCGCAUAACGUCGCAAGACCAAAGAGGGGGACCUUCGGGCCUCUUGCCAUCGGAUGUGCCCAGAUGGGAUUAGCUAGUAGGUGGGGUAACGGCUCACCUAGGCGACGAUCCCUAGCUGGUCUGAGAGGAUGACCAGCCACACUGGAACUGAGACACGGUCCAGACUCCUACGGGAGGCAGCGGUGGGGAAUAUUGCACAAAGGGCGCAAGCCUGAUGCAGCCAUGCCGCGUGUAUGAAGAAGGCCUUCGGGUUGUAAAGUACUUUCAGCGGGGAGGAAGGGAGUAAAGUUAAUACCUUUGCUCAUUGACGUUACCCGCAGAAGAAGCACCGGCUAACUCCGUG